UUAUGGCCAUAUCACAUUGAAACACCUGUUCUCAUUCAAUGACCAAAGUUAAGCAAUUCUGAACCUGGUCAGUACCUAGAAGGGCAACCACUGGGGAAUACCAAGUGCUGUAAG